AAUGAACGCUGGCGGCGUGCCUAACACAUGCAAGUCGAGCGAGAAAGUGGCUUCGGCCAUGAGUACAGCGGCGAACGGGUGAGUAACACGUGGAUAACCUGCCUGGAAGUGGGGGAUAACUCGGGGAAACCUGAGCUAAUACCGCAUACGCCUUCCGGAUCGCGGUCCGGAUUGGAAAGGUUGCCUCUUCUUCGAAAGCUAUCGCUUCCAGAGGGGUCCGCGCCUGAUUAGCUAGUUGGUGAGGUAACGGCUCACCAAGGCGACGAUCAGUAGCCGGCCUGAGAGGGUGAUCGGCCACACUGGAACUGAGACACGGUCCAGACUCCUACGGGAGGCAGCAGUGGGGAAUAUUGCGCAAUGGGGGAAACCCUGACGCAGCAACGCCGCGUGGAGGAUGAAGGCCUUCGGGUCGUAAACUCCUGUCAGGUGGGAAGAAUAGGCGACGGUCAACAACCGGCGCCGUUGACGGUACCACCAGAGGAAGCCCCGGCGUAACUCCGUGCCAGCAGCC
rnacentral:rRNA from 1 species